rnacentral:rRNA from 1 species
AGAGUUUGAUCAUGGCUCAGGACGAACGCUGGCGGCGCGCUUAACACAUGCAAGUCGAGCGAGAACCAGGCCUUCGGGCCUGGGGACAGCGGCGAACGGGUGAGUAACACGUGAGUAAUCUGCCCUCGGCACCGGGAUAGCCCGGGGAAACCCGGAUUAAUACCGGAUGGCCUCUCGAGCUUUCGGGCUCGUGAGAAAAGGUAGCUUCGGCCUCCGGCCGAGGAGGAGCUUGCGGCGGAUUAGCUUGUUGGUGGGGUAAUGGCCCACCAAGGCGACGAUCCGUAGCUGGUGUGAGAGCAUGAUCAGCCACACUGGGACUGAGACACGGCCCAGACUCCUACGGGAGGCAGCAGUGGGGAAUCUUGCCCAAUGGGCGAAAGCCUGAGGCAGCGACGCCGCGUGCGGGAAGAAGGCCUUCGGGUUGUAAACCGCUUUCAGGAGGGACGAAGCCACUCGGGUUAAUAGCCCAGAGGGCGACGGUACCUCCAGAAGAAGCCCCGGCUAACUACGUGCCAGCAGCCGCGGUAAUACGUAGGGGGCGAGCGUUGUCCGGAUUUAUUGGGCGUAAAGAGCGUGUAGGCGGCUUGGUAGGUCUGCUGUGAAAACUCGGGGCUCAACCCCGAGACGUCGGUGGAAACCACCUGGCUAGAGUCCGGAAGAGGAGAGUGGAAUUCCCGGUGUAGCGGUGAAAUGCGCAGAU